UACGUAGGGUGCAAGCGUUGUCCGGAAUUAUUGGGCGUAAAGGGCUCGUAGGCGGUCCAUCGCGUCGGGGAGUGAAAAGCUGGGGCUUAACCCCAGUCCUGCUUCCGAUACGGGUGGACUAGAGGUAGGUAGGGGAGAUCGGAAUUCCUGGUGUAGCGGUGAAAUGCGCAGAUAUCAGGAGGAACACCGGUGGCGAAGGCGGGUCUCUGG
rnacentral:rRNA from 1 species